UACGGGGGGGGCAAGCGUUGUUCGGAAUUACUGGGCGUAAAGGGCUCGUAGGCGGCCAACUAAGUCAGACGUGAAAUCCCUCGGCUUAACCGGGGAACUGCGUCUGAUACUGGAUGGCUUGAGUUUGGGAGAGGGAUGCGGAAUUCCAGGUGUAGCGGUGAAAUGCGUAGAUAUCAGGAGGAACACCGAUGGCGAAGGCAGGUCUCUGGGCUGACACUGACGCUCAUGCACGAAAGCGUGGGGAGCAAACAGG
rnacentral:rRNA from 1 species